ACCAACAGGGAUUGCCUCAGUAACGGCGAGUGAAGCGGCAAGAGCUCAAAUUUGAAAUCUGGAGCCUUCGGCUUCCGAGUUGUAAUUUGAAGAGGAUGUUUCGGUCGCGGCCUGGGCCUAAGUUCCUUGGAACAGGACGUCAUGGAGGGUGAGAAUCCCGUACAUGGCUGCAGGCUUGCUUCUAUGUGAAACUCCUUCGACGAGUCGAGUUGUUUGGGAAUGCAGCUCAAAAUGGGUGGUAAAUUUCAUCUAAAGCUAAAUAUUGGCGGGAGACCGAUAGCGCACAAGUAGAGUGAUCGAAAGAUGAAAAGCACUUUGAAAAGAGAGUUAAACAGUACGUGAAAUUGUUGAAAGGGAAGCGCUUGCGAUCAGACUCGCUUUCGGUUGAUCAACGUUCCUUCUGGUUCGUGCACUCUGCCGUUUGCGGGCCAGCAUCGGUUGGGGCGGCGGGACAAAGGCAUUGGGAAUGUGGCUCUCUUCGGGGAGUGUUAUAGCCCGGUGCGUCAUGCCGCCAGCUCCGACCGAGGUCCGCGGUUCGCCUAGGAUGCUGGCUUAAUGGUCGUAAGCGACCCGUCUUGAAACACGGACCAAGGAGUCUAACAUCUAUGCGAGUCUUUGGGUGUCAAACCCAUGGGCGAAAUGAAAGUGAACGGAGGUGGGAGUCCUCGGAUGCACCAUCGACCGAUCCUGAUGUUCUCGGAUGGAUUUGAGUAUGAGCAUAGCUGUUGGGACCCGAAAGAUGGUGAACUAUGCCUGAAUAGGGUGAAGCCAGAGGAAACUCUGGUGGAGGCUCGCAGCGGUUCUGACGUGCAAAUCGAUCGUCAAAUUUGGGUAUAGGGGCGAAAGACUAAUCGAACCAUCUAGUAGC
rnacentral:rRNA from 1 species